CAACCCUGGGAGAACUCCUUAAUAAACCGCCUGCUCUCUGCUUUCUGCUUCAGAGUCUACUUCUCAAAGAAACCAACUUGUGACAAGUUUUUGUAAGCACAUUGUUAUGCCAAAAAAGUGAAGAAAAGUAAAGGCAAUGCUUGGGCUCCCAGCCAAUUUUGUACCAGUCAG